rnacentral:rRNA from 1 species
GACGAACGCUGGCGGCGUGCCUAAUACAUGCAAGUAGAACGCACAGUUUAUACCGUAGCUUGCUACACCAUAAACUGUGAGUUGCGAACGGGUGAGUAACGCGUAGGUAACCUGCCUGGUGGCGGGGGAUAACUAUUGGAAACGAUAGCUAAUACCGCAUAAUAUUGAUUAUUGCAUGAUAAUUGAUUGAAAGAUGCUAUUGCAUCACUACCAGAUGGACCUGCGUUGUAUUAGCUAGUAGGUGAGGUAACGGCUCACCUAGGCGACGAUACAUAGCCGACCUGAGAGGGUGAUCGGCCACACUGGGACUGAGACACGGCCCAGACUCCUACGGGAGGCAGCAGUAGGGAAUCUUCGGCAAUGGACGAAAGUCUGACCGAGCAACGCCGCGUGAGUGAAGAAGGUUUUCGGAUCGUAAAGCUCUGUUGUAAGAGAAGAACGGGUGUGAGAGUGGAAAGUUCACACUGUGAUGGUAUCUUACCAGAAAGGGACGGCUAACUACGUG